rnacentral:rRNA from 1 species
UGCAGUCGAGCGGUAACAUUUCUAGCUUGCUAGAAGAUGACGAGCGGCGGACGGGUGAGUAAUGCUUGGGAAUAUGCCUUAUGGUGGGGGACAACAGUUGGAAACGACUGCUAAUACCGCAUAAUGUCUACGGACCAAAGGGGGGGAUCUUCGGACCUCUCGCCAUUUGAUUAGCCCAAGUGAGAUUAGCUAGUUGGUGAGGUAAUGGCUCACCAAGGCGACGAUCUCUAGCUGGUUUGAGAGGAUGAUCAGCCACACUGGGACUGAGACACGGCCCAGACUCCUACGGGAGGCAGCAGUGGGGAAUAUUGCACAAUGGGCGCAAGCCUGAUGCAGCCAUGCCGCGUGUGUGAAGAAGGCCUUCGGGUUGUAAAGCACUUUCAGUAAGGAGGAAAGGGAUGUGGUUAAUAACUGCAUUCUGUGACGUUACUUACAGAAGAAGCACCGGCUAACUUCGUGCCAGCAGCCGCGGUAAUACGAGGGGUGCAAGCGUUAAUCGGAAUUACUGGGCGUAAAGCGUUCGUAGGCGGUUGAUUAAGCAAGAUGUGAAAGCCCAGGGCUCAACCUUGGAACUGCAUUUUGAACUGGUCAACUAGAGUACUGUAGAGGGUGGUGGAAUUUCCAGUGUA